CCCUUAGACGUUCUGGGCCGCACGCGCGCUACACUGACCAGUGCAACAAGCAUCCGUCCUUGGCCGACAGGCCCGGGCAAUCUUUGAACGCUGGUCGUGAUGGGGAUAGACUUUUGCAAUUUUUGGUCUUCAACGAGGAAUUCCUAGUAAACGCAAGUCAUCAACUUGCAUUGAUUACGUCCCUGCCCUUUGUACACACCGCCCGUCGCACCUACCGAUUGAAUGGUCCGGUGAAGCCUCCGGAUUGGCGCGCACCCCGGUGCUGCCGAGAAGUUGGCUAAACCUUACCAUUUAGAGGAAGGUGAAGUCGUAACA
rnacentral:rRNA from 1 species